GCGAACCUCUCUUUGAUGGUUUGACCUCGGAUCAGGUAGGGUUACCCGCUGAACUUAAGCAUAUCAAUAAGCGGAGGAAAAGAAACCAACAGGGAUUGCCCCAGUAACGGCGAGUGAAGCGGCAACAGCUCAAAUUUGAAAUCUGGUCCCCCCGCGGGGCCCGAGUUGUAAUUUGAAGAGGAUGCUUCUGGCAAGGUGCCGUCCGAGUUCCCUGGAACGGGACGCCGCAGAGGGUGAGAGCCCCGUACGGUCGGACGCCGAGCCUCUGUGAAGCUCCUUCGACGAGUCGAGUAGUUUGGGAAUGCUGCUCAAAAUGGGAGGUAAACCCCUUCUAAAGCUAAAUACCGGCCAGAGACCGAUAGCGCACAAGUAGAGUGAUCGAAAGAUGAAAAGCACUUUGAAAAGAGAGUUAAAAAGCACGUGAAAUUGUUGAAAGGGAAGCGCUUGCGACCAGACUCGCGCCCGUCGGAUCAGCCGUCGCUCGUCGGCGGCGCACUCCGGCGGGCUCGGGCCAGCAUCAGUUCGCCUCGGGGGGAGAAAGGCGGCGGGAAUGUGGCUCUACGGAGUGUUAUAGCCCGCCGCGUAAUACCCCCGGGCGGACUGAGGACCGCGCGUAUGCAAGGAUGCUGGCGUAAUGGUCGUCAGCGACCCGUCUUGAAACACGGACCAAGGAGUCGUCCUAAUAUGCGAGUGUACGGGUGUCAAACCCCUGCGCGUAAUGAAAGUGAACGGAGGUGAGAGCUUCGGCGCAUCAUCGACCGAUCCUGAUGUUCUCGGAUGGAUUUGAGUAAGAGCAUAUUGGGCCGGACCCGAAAGAAGGUGAACUAUGCCUGUGUAGGGUAAAGCCAGAGGAAACUCUGGUGGAGGCUCGCAGCGGUUCUGACGUGCAAAUCGAUCGUUAGACAAGGGCAUGGGGGCGAAAGACUAAUCGAACCUUCUAGUAGCUGGUUUCCGCCGAAGU
rnacentral:rRNA from 1 species